rnacentral:rRNA from 1 species
UACGGAGGGUGCGAGCGUUGUUCGGAAUCACUGGGCGUAAAGGGCAUGUAGGCGGUCCGCUAAGUCUGAUGUGAAAGCCCGGGGCUCACCCCCGGAAGUGCAUUGGAAACUGGCGGACUCGAGUCCCGGAGAGGAGGGUGGAAUUCCUGGUGUAGCGGUGAAAUGCGUAGAUAUCAGGAGGAACACCGGUGGCGAAGGCGGCCCUCUGGACGGUGACUGACGCUGAGACGCGAAAGCGUGGGGAGCAAACAGG